rnacentral:rRNA from 1 species
UCAAGCUACAAAGAGCACAAGGGGAAUGCCUUGGCACCGAGAGCCGAAGAAGGACGUGACUAACUGCGAUAAGCUACGGGGAGCUGUAAGUGAGCGUUAUAUCCGUAGAUUUCCGAAUGGAGCAAUCCGAUUAGAGGAAAGUCUAAUCAUCAUAUACUGAAUACAUAGGUAUAUGAGGGGAACCGCCUGAACUGAAACAUCUAAGUAGGGCGAGGAAGAGAAAUCAACAGAGAUUCCGUAAGUAGUGGCGAGCGAACGCGGAAGAGGCCAAACCUAAUGUAGUAAUAUGUUAGGGGUUCGGACAGUAUAAUGAAUUGUCGAGAUUUAGCCGAAUGUCAUGGGAAGGGCAAUCAAAGAAGGUGAAAAUCCUGUAGGCGAAAAGUUAAGACAUCAGACUGUAUCCAGAGUACCGCCGGACACGUGAAACCCGGUGGGAAUACGGGGGGACCAUCCUCCAAGCCUAAAUACUACUCGGUGACCGAUAGAGAAGAAGUACUGUGAAGGAAAGGUGAAAAGCACCCCGGAAGGGGAGUGAAAGAGAACCUGAAACCUUGUGUUUACAAGCACCGAAAGUUCAUCAACGAACGAUCGGGUACCUUUUGUAGAAUGGUCCGGCGAGUGAAUGUAACUGGCAAGGUUAAGCACUUAAGGUGUGAAGCCGUAGCGAGAGCGAGUCUGAAAAGGGCGCAUGAAGUCAGUUGUAUUCGACCCGAAACCGGGUGACCUACCCAUGUCCAGGCUGAAGUGCAGGUAAAACUUCAUGGAGGGCCGAACCGACUCCCGUUGAAAUGGUAGCGGAUGAGGUGUGGGUAGCGGAGAAAUUCCAAUCGAACCCGGAGAUAGCUGGUUCUCUCCGAAAUAGCUUUAGGGCUAGCCUUGGAAUAGAUUACUGGAGGUAAAGCACUGAAUUGGCUAGGGGCCGAGAGGUUACUGAACCUUAUCAAACUAAGAAUGCCAGAUAAUCGUUUUCCAGGAGUCAGACAGUGGGAGAUAAGUUUCAUUGUCAAAAGGGAAACAGCCCAGACCUACAGCUAAGGUCCCAAAGUAUAGUUAAGUGGAAAAGGAUGUGGAAUUGCAUAGACAACCAGGAUGUUGGCUUAGAAGCAGCCACUCAUUAAAAGAGUGCGUAAUAGCUCACUGGUCGAGUGAUUCUGCGCCGAAAAUUUAACGGGGCUAAACUAUACACCGAAGCUUAGGAUACCGCAAGGUAUGGUAGGAGAGCGUUCUGUACGGAGUGAAGUCGUAGCGAAAGCGGCGGUGGACUGUACAGAAGUGAGAAUGCCGGAAUAAGUAGCGAGAAUUAAGUGAGAAUCUUAAUGGCCGAAAGUCUAAGGUUUUUGGAGGAAGGUUCGUCCGCUCCAAGUAAGUCGGGAGCUAAGGUCAGGCCGAAAGGCGUAGCCGAUGCACAAACGGUUGAUAUUCCGUUACCGUCUACAAUUUAAACAAAGGGACACAUACAAAGCGUUUAACCCGGGCGAUGGUUGACCUGGGCGCAAGGGACUGAAAUAAGAGUAGGGAAGUAAAUGUGGCGUAUGGCGAGAAAAGCUUUGUGUAUAGAAGUAGACGCCCGUACCGCAAACCGACACAGGUGGACAGGAAGAGAAUUCUAAGGCCAGCGGGAGAAGGGUAGUUAAGGAACUCGGCAAAUUGACUCCGUAACUUCGGAAUAAGGAGUGCUCGAAAGAGCCGCAGAGAAUAGGCCCAGGCGACUGUUUAGCAAAAACACAGGUCUCUGCCAAAUCGAAAGAUGAAGUAUAGGGGCUGACACCUGCCCGGUGCCGGAAGGUUAAGAGGAGGAGUGCAAGCUCCGAAUUGAAGCCCCGGUAAACGGCGGCCGUAACUAUAACGGUCCUAAGGUAGCGAAAUUCCUUGUCGGGUAAGUUCCG